AGCGGCGGACGGGUGAGUAAUACUUAGGAAUCUACCUAGUAGUGGGGGAUAGCACGGGGAAACUCGUAUUAAUACCGCAUACGACCUACGGGAGAAAGGGGGCAGUUUACUGCUCUCGCUAUUAGAUGAGCCUAAGUCGGAUUAGCUAGAUGGUGGGGUAAAGGCCUACCAUGGCGACGAUCUGUAGCUGGUCUGAGAGGAUGAUCAGCCACACCGGGACUGAGACACGGCCCGGACUCCUACGGGAGGCAGCAGUGGGGAAUAUUGGACAAUGGGGGAAACCCUGAUCCAGCCAUGCCGCGUGUGUGAAGAAGGCCUUUUGGUUGUAAAGCACUUUAAGCAGUGAAGAAGACUCUUCGGUUAAUACCCGGAGACGAUGACAUUAGCUGCAGAAUAAGCACCGGCUAACUCUGUGCCAGCAGCCGCGGUAAUACAGAGGGUGCAAGCGUUAAUCGGAAUUACUGGGCGUAAAGCGAGCGUAGGUGGCUUGAUAAGUCAGAUGUGAAAUCCCCGGGCUUAACCUGGGAACUGCAUCUGAAACUGUUAGGCUAGAGUAGGUGAGAGGGAAGUAGAAUUUCAGGUGUAGCGGUGAAAUGCGUAGAGAUCUGAAGGAAUACCGAUGGCGAAGGCAGCUUCCUGGCAUCAUACUGACACUGAGGCUCGAAAGCGUGGGUAGCAAACAGGAUUAGAUACCCUGGUAGUCCACGCCGUA
rnacentral:rRNA from 1 species